UGAUAUUCAGUUUGUACGUCUGAAAGCAGGGUUGCUCUCUUUGGCCCACCCUCCAUUAUAGACACCCUCUAACAUCAUCUUGUCUACUUGAAAAUUAAAAUUGUUUUGGGACCAAUACAGUGUUACCAGAAUUAACAAAUCACUUACUGUGAAAAUGCUGUGAGUUUCUACAAGCACAGUUGUAUGCCAGCAUAUCGUUCUUGUCUUUCUGAUAUCAAACUUUUUUUCCCUUGACAUAGCAGAGUGAUUGUGACCUUCUGAAACUUUGUGAUGCUCUUGAGCCAUGAUUCCUGAAUUUAGAAUCCUAACUUUCAUGAGAGGAAAUACACCAGGAAAGCAAAUAAACUACUUUUAACUAGCUAGGAUAAAACACUGGGUAAUACAUGAUACAGGAUAAUUGUUUUGGCAGCAGGAAGGAAGACUUUGUACUACCUUGGGUCAUUUUCUGUUCACAUCUGUAAUUUGUGUGAUUGUGUCCUUGGAUAAGUGGAGUUCUUUCUGGCAUUCUUCAGUGAGAGGUUAUGUUAAUAAUGCAACUUUCAUUUUAAUUUUACCUUUUUUUGGGUCAAAGUUCAUUCAUUUUUUCCCAGAAUUUGGUUUCAUAGCUUUUUUUCUGCAUGUGAAGCUUUUAAUGGCACCAUAGCAUGACAAGAUACAAUAAACUCUGCUGAACUUUAAAAGCUGUUUUAUAUGUAUUUUUGGUUACAUGGUUAAUGAUGGGUUAAAAACUAACCCAGCUGAGGGAAGAAGAGGUUAGAGGGGAAUGCUUUCUUUGUAUUAUUCAGACUCAGAGUAAAUUUGCAUGAAAAUUUUAUCAGCAUUCUUGGUGCUGUGACUUCUCUGAAUGAAUUCCCUACAGAUGCAAAUUUUUGGACUGACUUCUUUAUCUUUCUUCUUUUGAGAUACUAGCUUAAAAGGAUGGAUCUGCCUUUUAUGUCUAGAGAAUGAUGCCUUGAGACUUGCCACUAUUUCAAAGCCUGUCCAGCUGUUGAAAGUAAAGAGCAGUUCUGCAGACAGCUUUGACUUGUACUGGGGGUGAAGUCAAGGCCAAAGAAUCUGGGGGAGCAGCCACUUCUUUGACCAACCUUUUUUCUAUAGUUAGUGGAAAUUGCUUAGAACGCUUCAUGCUCUGAGCGUAAGCCUGCUGAUGUAUAAGAAACCUAAAAGAGUUGGACAUUUUGUUAGGGAAUGUAUUUAUCUCUCUAAAUCUUCACUAAUCUGGAAAAUGGAUCAUGGGAUCACAUCCUUGUUCAUAGGGCUGGAAGGGACCCAGGAAGUCCAACCUCCUAAUGAAAGCAGGGCCAGCUAUGAUGUCAGGCCAGGUUCUGCUGGGCUUUAUUCAGUUAGGUCUUACAGACUUCUGAAGGUAGACUGUAAAACCUCUUUUGGCAGCCUCUUCCACUACUUGCCUGUCCUCGCUGCAAAAAAGUUUCUCGUUACAUCAAGUCUGAACCUUCUUCAGCUUAUGCCUGUUGUCUUUUGUCUACUUGCAAUGUAGUAGUGUGAAGAGCCUGGCUGAGUCUUCUUGGUAAGCUUGUGCAUAGUGCAUUGUGCAUAGUGGCCCACUUGGGGUGCUCUCUUCUCCAGGCUGAGCAAGUUCAUUCCCUUAUCUUCUCCUUACAGGGCUAGUACACCAGCCCCUGACCAGUUUGCUGGCCCUCUGCUGAACAUACUUCACUUUAUCAAGCUCUUUUGUUUUUCUGGGAGCUCAAAACUGGAGACAGAAUUUUUAGAUCCCCUGUCUGUGAGUGUAUCAACUGACCCCCACAAUUUAGUCAUCUGCAAAAGUUGAUAAUGAUGAUGUACUCUGUCACCUCCAGGUCACUGAUUAAGAAGUUGAACAGGAUGGGAUAAAUGCCUGCAGUACUUCAUUUGUUACUGGCCCCUAGUCAGAGUACCAGCCAUUUUUCUUUUCAGUCUGUUUAAUUUUCCACCCAUCCAGACUUCAGCAUCCUCAUACAAAUAUAAGAAUAUUGAAAGAGACAGUGCUUCUUGUGAGAAAAAUUGCAUAAUCAUUAUUGACUUUCAUGUUCUUAUUCAGAGUUAGAAAACUUUAAGUUAAUACUAUUAUAGUAUGACUUGCAGGUAUAAUACAGCAGUUUAAUAUAUUCUGCAGUGCAGUGCAAUUAAAAUAGGUCUCCUGUGUGGAUGAUGUUACAAGUCAUUAACCUAAACACAGUAAAGUCAAAUAGAGGAUAAGCAUUGCUUUGACUUGGAGAUACUUGUGUUUGUUUUUUUUUUUCCCUUCAUAGAUCUUUGCUUAGAUUUCCAAGUCUUAAAAGAUUUUUAAGACUCAUGUUUUCAGGACUGGAUUCCUGCAGAUGACCUGGCAAAAUGCCAAACUGAGAAAAUGUUUGUUUGAAAUGAAGUUUAGAUCAAUAAAGAGGACUUGAAAGGCUGGGAACUGGCUUUUUCUGUAUGUGUGUACUAUUCAUCAGAAAAGGAAAUCUGACAUAUUCAGUCCUCUACACUGUGUUCAGCUCUAUCUUUUUGAGCCUGAGACAUCUUCAAGGAACUCAGUUUUUGUCAUACUACUCCACUCAGCUUUUUUCACCCAACAGCAAGAAAAAGUAACAUGUGUGAUAUGUAUGUUACAUAUGUAUAUAUGUAUGAUACAUAUAUAUGUAAAAACUACUGGUGGUGUCAUAAUAUUAUGAAAUGCUAUAAAAUUGUAAUGCAUUCCCUGUGUCCAACGGAGCUCAUGCAACCAACUCCAAGACAGACCUGCUGCUGCAGGGGAACUGCAGCUUGUGGAAAGGGCUUAUGUUAGAGAAGUUCUUGGAGGACUAUCUCUCACACUGGGACCCCACGCUGGAGCAGGGGAAGAGUGUGAGGAGUCCUCCCCUGAAGAGGAAAGAGUAGCAGAAAUGUGUGAUGGACUGACCACAACCAACUGUUGAUGAUGGUAGGGAGGAGGAAGAGAAAAUUCAGGAGUGAAGUUGAGCCCAGGAAGAACAGAGGGAUGGGAAAAAGGUGUUUUUAAGAUUUGUUUUUAGUUCACAUUAUCCUACCCUGAUUUGAUUGGUGAAAAAUUAAACUUAUUUCCCC